AGAGUUUGAUCCUGGCUCAGGACGAACGCUGGCGGCGUGCCUAAUACAUGCAAGUCGAGCGAGCUUGCCUAGAUGAUUUUAGUGCUUGCACUAAAUGAAACUAGAUACAAGCGAGCGGCGGACGGGUGAGUAACACGUGGGUAACCUGCCCAAGAGACUGGGAUAACACCUGGAAACAGAUGCUAAUACCGGAUAACAACACUAGACGCAUGUCUAGAGUUUGAAAGAUGGUUCUGCUAUCACUCUUGGAUGGACCUGCGGUGCAUUAGCUAGUUGGUAAGGUAACGGCUUACCAAGGCAAUGAAGCAUAGCCGAGUUGAGAGACUGAUCGGCCACAUUGGGACUGAGACACGGCCCAAACUCCUACGGGAGGCAGCAGUAGGGAAUCUUCCACAAUGGACGAAAGUCUGAUGGAGCAACGCCGCGUGAGUGAAGAAGGGUUUCGGCUCGUAAAGCUCUGUUGGUAGUGAAGAAAGAUAGAGGUAGUAACUGGCCUUUAUUUGACGGUAAUUACUUAGAAAGUCACGGCUAACUACGUGCCAGCAGCCGCGGUAAUACGUAGGUGGCAAGCGUUGUCCGGAUUUAUUGGGCGUAAAGCGAGUGCAGGCGGUUCAAUAAGUCUGAUGUGAAAGCCUUCGGCUCAACCGGAGAAUUGCAUCAGAAACUGUUGAACUUGAGUGCAGAAGAGGAGAGUGGAACUCCAUGUGUAGCGGUGGAAUGCGUAGAUAUAUGGAAGAACACCAGUGGCGAAGGCGGCUCUCUGGUCUGCAACUGACGCUGAGGCUCGAAAGCAUGGGUAGCGAACAGGAUUAGAUACCCUGGUAGUCCAUGCCGUAAACGAUG
rnacentral:rRNA from 1 species